rnacentral:lncRNA from 1 species
UGUCCAAAUACCCCCUGCUGGCAAGGACUCUAAAUGCAGCGGCUUUGGCUUUUAACAGGGUAUCUGGGUUCACUGUCAAAUUUUAGCCAAUUUAUGCUCAUUUCGUGAGGUUAAUGGGCAAGGCAUUGAGGCAUUGGUAACAGCUGCAGAGUGGUGGACGCUGGGCUGUGCUGUCCGCCUGAGUGCCAGGCCUGAGAUGACAUGUUCCUGGUCCUCAGAGUUGGGCCGGGAAUGAGGGUCUGGUGUAUUGUCCUAUCCAGUCCUGCAGGCUGCCAGGCGCCUUAAUGCCCAAAUUAAUUUUAAAGAGUUUAUUUUUUCGCACUCCACACAGACAAGAACACACACACACGCACACACGUGAACACACACACACACACACACACACACACACACACACACACACGAUGGUCAGUUCUAUUGUUUUCUUUUGGAUGGAUGACUUAUGCCUUUUCCUCUUUUUCAAACCCAAUGUUUUAUAUUCGUAGCCUUAAGACAACAUGUUUUGCUUGCCACCUCUGCUUGACUAUAUAUGUGUGAAAUGCAGAUCCGGGCGACAGGGGGAGAAGGGAGAGAGAGGGAGCCAGAGAGGCAAAGAGAGAGAGGGAGAGGGAGAGAGAGAGGCAGAGAAGAAGAAGGUGAGAGGGAGGAGGGCAGAGAGAGGGCACGACAAAGAGAAAGAAAGAGAGGGUAAAAGAGGGAAAGAGAGAUGGGGGAGAAGGAGGAGAGAAAGAGAGAGAGAGAGAGAGAGAGAGAGAGAGAGAGAGAGAGAGAGAGAGAGAGAGAGAGAGAGAGAGAGAGAGAGAGAGAGAGAGAGAGAGAGGGAAACCGGUAGAGCUUUGACGCCACAUGAUCUGUCGCGUGUCAGCCAGGCUCCAUCAUUCCACCCCCAGGUGGGUCUCCCUCUGGCGUGCAAGACUUUUCUGUAACAAUCUUUUCUUCUCCUCCUCUUCCACCUGUUCCCCCUCCUCCCUCUCCCGCUGCUCCUUCACAGAGAAGCCGAUGGCGCGGGGCCCCCCCGGGGGGGUGAUCGGGGUCCUGGGGGGCAUAGUCGCCAUCGGUCUGAUCAUCGCUGUGGCGAUCACUGUCGUCAUGAUGCACCGGCGCCAGCAGAAGACGGCCACAGAGACGGAUAACGACCUCAUUGCUGUGGCGGCUGUGGUGGCUGAUAGCUCUGUACCGCAGGCUCCAGAGAAGCCCGGCUCCUCCUCCUCCUCCUCCCCCACCAGGGCCGACCUCCCACCCGCACACAAGCCCGCCCCUCCCCCGCCGAAGAAGAAGACCUGCGACAUGAAGGGACACCUGACUUCUGAGGACAUCCAGGUGGUGCACCUGGACAAGGACGAGGAGAUGCAGAAGCUUCCCCUCCAGCCUCCAUACUACGACAUGGCGCCCUCUGAGUCAACCCCCUUCACCGAUAAAAUGAACUCUGGCCCCCACAGGGACUGUGACGUCCAGUACGCUGAGCUGGACACCUCCGCCCUGGCCUCGUCUGUCGGCCCCCGCAGCCCGGCCCCUGGGGGCCCCGGGGACCUUGUCGAGUAUGCCACCAUCCAGCCUAGCUCUCACUAGCGCAUGCCUCUGUAGGCCUUUCCCCUCAGCAUCUGACCACCAGAACUGUGGGCGGCGCCCAGAAGACGUUCUGAACCCGGCCCCGUACGUGACCUACCAGCCGAUCUGCUCCAUGGAAACCUUCUCCCAGCCAGCCCCACCACCGGCAGCACACCCCCAGCCUCCCACCUCCUUCCUGCCCCAACACCCCUACGCCCACCCCCACCGCCCUCUGCACCAGCAGCCUCCGGGCCAAGAGAUCUCCUACCCCCCCAACAUGGGCCACCCUGUGCCUGGUCCGCGAGCCCCCUUCACCUACUCCAGGGAGCAGUCGGUGUGAGGCGCGGUGACCCCCGCAGUAACCCCCCCCCCCCCCCCCCCCCCCACACACACCUCCGAGGAUCUACGCAACGACCAGCGGAACCGUGACUGCGACGCCUCCCCCUGUCUCCCUCCAACUCCUCCACACGUCGGUGUAGUGUGAGCUCAGUAUACGGGUGGUGUCUUUUAUAUGUGAGCUGUCUCCGUCCUCCCUCUGUGACCCCCCCCCCCCCCCUUGUCCCUACCUUGUGUGUCGUGCACUGCUUGUAUCACGGAAGGCGUAGCGUAUAGAAACACGACACCUAGUGCUGUUAGCCGUUAGACGCUGUUAUCUCCCCACCGCCCUCCUCCAACCUCCUCCACCCCUCUCCGCUGCUCCCUUGUGCCCGUGGGAUCCGGGUCCUCAUUCCCAACGCUACGUGUCUAACCAUGUACUGUGUUUGCCAUUCUUUUGUUUAUUCGGUCGCUUUUUCAAUUUCGUUUUUUAUUUGACUCACCGCGGCCGUGACCGCUUAUAUCCGUGUUCAUUGUUGCUUUUUUCCGUUGUUUUUUUUGUCGAUUAUAUGCUUGCUUCUUCAAGAAAAACUACAUAACGUACUGUAUUUGUGAUUUGGAUGUGUAAUCUGAAAAAAAUGAUGUAACUAUUAAUACUUUUUUAGAAUUGUUUACCUAUAAAUAGGACAUGGCCUGCCCCCCUUUUUCAUGAGUUAUUGGCAGAGUGGUCGGAAUUGGCAGUUACUCCCUUCUUCCCCUCGUCAUUAAAAAACUGCAGCCAUAUUUGAUUCGAUUUAGAUAGGUUGAAUUAUAAGAAAGACACGUUGUCCUCACCAUAAAAUAAGAACAGAUAAGGGCUAAAAAUAAGCAACUAUUUUUCCCUCUUACAUGACAGUAUAUUAAUAUAAUUAUUAUUAAUGUUAUUAUUAAUAUUAUUCAUAGCAGUAUUGUUAGUUGCCAAGGCUAGGAGCAUUCUAUUUUGCUAAUGUGUAUUUUUAGUCAUAUUAUUUUGUAUUGUUUUCCAUUUGCUUCCAUGCUAACGUUUACAUUCGACCGUAUUUGUUCAAGGGAAUGUACAGCGAAGAUUGGCAACAUGCUCAGCUAGUUUACAUUACUGCUUGCCACACGCUGUGUUUCUAAAUGGAGUUUACUGGAAGGUUAAUUAACGCAAGGGUCCUAGGUGGGAUUUUUUAUCGAGGGGGGGAACAGAGCCUCCUCUACGCAGGUGCAAUAGAUGAAUAUGACAAUCACUUUUUAGGGCUGCCCUAGGAAAACUUUGUUUUUCAUGGUUUAUUCAAGGUUUGUUUAGUUUUCAUUUAUUUAUUUAUUUUUUACUAAUUGCUCAAAAAGCCAACUUUUUUUUCCCAGGACAGCCCUCCCACAUAUUGAAAUGUUUUAUUUUAGGAUUGCACCUCUCAAAAGCCUAAAGAGUUGAACAAUAAUCCGCUGAAGAAAGAGCUUGCUACUGUAUUUUUCUAGAGAACACUUCCGUAUAGACUGUAUCGAUUGAGCUUUACAAAUAUAUAACACACACUGUGACUGUCGCUAUUAAACCAUACAUAAGCUAACUCUCCUACGACGAGCCAACUCUAACACACUGCCACCAACACACACAACACGUCCACGACACAUAACACAACUGCAUAAAUAACUGAAAGGUUCACACAUUUUCUUUUUGCCAUGUCAGGUUUGUGUAUAGGAUAAAAAAUGAGAAUACUUGUGUUUGUGCUCGAUGUGAAAGAUGUUUAAAAAAUGACAAGUAGAUUAACCCUUGAGAUGUUGAAGGUGUUAGUGUUUACUCUUGACGGUUGUAUGAAUUUGGGUAAAAAAAAUCUCCUUUUGCUCAUUGUUGUCCUGCGAUGGCUGAAUCGGUGUGCGAGUUCUGAGUGGAACCGGUUUCGUCCGGUUUGAACUGCAGCAUCGACAUGUUGUCUUGGUGUAACUGCUGUAUGAAAACACAAACACACAGAAUGCUUUCUUGUGACACAUUGUUAAUAACAACCUCCCUUAUUAUUAUUAUUAUUAUUACUAUCGUUAUUAUAAUUAUGACUAUAACUGUGAUUAAUAUUAUUACCGCUACUGCAUUCUUGGAAUGAAAUGUACUUCUAUUUAUUUCUAAAUUGUUUUGUCUGUCCUCAAUUGUGUUGACCUUCAUCUUUUUCUAUGAUUUUUGUUUAUAACUUUUCUUUUGUUUCAUGUUACUUUUCUUUUUCUAAAUAGUGCGUAUAUUUCUCUUGAAACCCUCAUCUGUACAUUUGAGUGGACGGUAAUCAUCUGAUGUAGCAGACACUACUAGAGCUGCGGUAGGAAAGAAAGUGUGGAAGAAUUUAACCAUUAUUUUUUACAUCCUGAGUUCUUUGUGUAAAUAUUAACAGUGUAUCUGGUGUGUUGAAAAAAAGAAACAAAAAAAAAGAACAAGCCAUGCAGGUUAACAUUAAACUUCACUAAUGAUCCAUGUAAUAUGUGUGGUGUUUGUGUCUUAAUCAUUCUAUCCACCAUCCAUCCAUCCAUCCACCCCCACCUGCUUUAGCAUGUAAACAUGUAUGCGCACACACACACACACACACACACACACACACACACACACACACACACACACACACACACACACACACACACACACACACACACACACACACACACACACACACACACAAUAUGACAGUGGAGUCUCAAUAUUCAUUCUAAACAUCCACCAUUCAAAAGG